GCUAAUAUAGCAAAGAGGGUAAAUGCAAAAGAUUUAGGAUCUUUUAACAAAGGUUCAAAUCCUUUUUUUAGUU
rnacentral:tRNA from 1 species